rnacentral:rRNA from 1 species
AGAGUUUGAUCCUGGCUCAGGACGAACGCUGGCGGCGUGCCUAAUACAUGCAAGUAGAACGCUGAAGUUUGGUGCUUGCACUAGACGGAUGAGUUGCGAACGGGUGAGUAACGCGUAGGUAACCUGCCUCAUAGCGGGGGAUAACUAUUGGAAACGAUAGCUAAUACCGCAUAACAGUAUUUAUCGCAUGGUAGAUGCUUGAAAGGAGCAAUUGCUUCACUAUGAGAUGGACCUGCGUUGUAUUAGCUAGUUGGUGAGGUAACGGCUCACCAAGGCUUCGAUACAUAGCCGACCUGAGAGGGUGAUCGGCCACACUGGGACUGAGACACGGCCCAGACUCCUACGGGAGGCAGCAGUAGGGAAUCUUCGGCAAUGGGGGCAACCCUGACCGAGCAACGCCGCGUGAGUGAAGAAGGUUUUCGGAUCGUAAAGCUCUGUUGUAAGAGAAGAACUGUGAGAAGAGUGGAAAGUUUCUCGCUUGACGGUAUCUUACCAGAAAGGGACGGCUAACUACGUGCCAGCAGCCGCGGUAAUACGUAGGUCCCGAGCGUUGUCCGGAUUUAUUGGGCGUAAAGCGAGCGCAGGCGGUUUGAUAAGUCUGAAGUAAAAGGCUGUGGCUUAACCAUAGUACGCUUUGGAAACUGUCAAACUUGAGUGCAGAAGGGGAGAGUGGAAUUCCAUGUGUAGCGGUGAAAUGCGUAGAUAUAUGGAGGAACACCGGUGGCGAAAGCGGCUCUCUGGUCUGUAACUGACGCUGAGGCUCGAAAGCGUGGGGAGCGAACAGGAUUAGAUACCCUGGUAGUCCACGCCGUAAACGAUGAGUGCUAGGUGUUGGGUCCUUUCCGGGACUCAGUGCCGCAGCUAACGCAUUAAGCACUCCGCCUGGGGAGUACGACCGCAAGGUUGAAACUCAAAGGAAUUGACGGGGGCCCGCACAAGCGGUGGAGCAUGUGGUUUAAUUCGAAGCAACGCGAAGAACCUUACCAGGUCUUGACAUCCCGAUGACCGCCCUAGAGAUAGGGUUUCUCUUCGGAGCAUCGGUGACAGGUGGUGCAUGGUUGUCGUCAGCUCGUGUCGUGAGAUGUUGGGUUAAGUCCCGCAACGAGCGCAACCCCUAUUGUUAGUUGCCAUCAUUCAGUUGGGCACUCUAGCGAGACUGCCGGUAAUAAACCGGAGGAAGGUGGGGAUGACGUCAAAUCAUCAUGCCCCUUAUGACCUGGGCUACACACGUGCUACAAUGGCUGGUACAACGAGUCGCAAGUCGGUGACGGCAAGCUAAUCUCUUAAAGCCAGUCUCAGUUCGGAUUGUAGGCUGCAACUCGCCUACAUGAAGUCGGAAUCGCUAGUAAUCGCGGAUCAGCACGCCGCGGUGAAUACGUUCCCGGGCCUUGUACACACCGCCCGUCACACCACGAGAGUUUGUAACACCCGAAGUCGGUGAGGUAACCUUUAAGGAGCCAGCCGCCUAAGGUGGGAUAGAUGAUUGGGGUGAAGUCGUAACAAGGUAGCCGUAUCGGAAGGUGCGGCUG